AGGACGAACGCUGGCGGCGUGCUUAACACAUGCAAGUCGAGCGGAAAGGCCCUUCGGGGUACUCGAGCGGCGAACGGGUGAGUAACACGUGAGCAACCUGCCCCUGGCUCUGGGAUAGCCUUCGGAAACGGGGAUUAAUACCGGAUAUUCACUGCUUCCUGCAUGGGGGGUGUGGAAAGUUUUUCGGCUGGGGUGGGCUCGCGGCCUAUCAGCUUGUUGGGGGGGUGACGGCCCACCAAGGCGACGACGGGUAG
rnacentral:rRNA from 1 species